GCUUGAAGCAAAAUAAAAACAGUGAAUUGAUGGAUCCCAAAUGCAAACAGAUGAUAACCAAGCGCCAGAUCACCCAGAACACAGAUUACCGCUUAAACCCCAUGCUAAGAAAAGCCUGUAAAGCUGACAUUCCUAAAUUCUGUCACGGUAUCCUGACUAAGGCCAAGGAUGAUUCAGAAUUAGAAGGACAAGUCAUCUCUUGCCUCAAGCUGAGAUAUGCUGACCAGCGCCUGUCAUCAGACUGCGAAGACCAGAUCCGAAUCAUUAUCCAGGAGUCCGCCCUGGACUACCGCCUGGAUCCUCAGCUCCAGCUGCACUGCUCAGACGAGGUGGGAUUUGCAUGCAAAAGUGGUUACGCACAGAGCUGCUCAGAGAAGUUUCCAUUGGAGAAAAGUUGUUUACUUUCUCUCCUUUCAGCCGUGAAUGAUCUGGUGAAUUGAAGGCCAUCUUCUAGGGCUCUCCAUGGUCUGCAUUCCUGUUCUCUGUAACACUGAAUUCAACUUGGCGUUAGUCCUGACACUCUAAAGCGUUGUUCCAUAUUUCUCUGUUGAACAAGGGUGUUCUUUCAUUAUAGCUCUCUGUAAAUUUGUUCUUCCUUCUCGUUAUUCUGGAUGGUAAACCCAAGACUUGCCAGAAAGA
rnacentral:sRNA from 1 species